AUAUUGCACAAUGGGGGAAACCCUGAUGCAGCGACGCCGCGUGAGUGAAGAAGUAUUUCGGUAUGUAAAGCUCUAUCAGCAGGGAAGAAGAAAGACGGUACCUGACUAAGAAGCCCCGGCUAACUACGUGCCAGCAGCCGCGGUAAUACGUAGGGGGCAAGCGUUAUCCGGAUUUACUGGGUGUAAAGGGAGCGUAGACGGCUGUGCAAGUCUGAAGUGAAAGCCCAGGGCUCAACCCUGGGACUGCUUUGGAAACUGUGGAGCUAGAGUGCUGGAGAGGUAAGUGGAAUUCCUAGUGUAGCGGUGAAAUGCGUAGAUAUUAGGAGGAACACCAGUGGCGUAGGCGGCUUACUGGACAGUAACUGACGUUGAGGCUCGAAAGCGUGGGGAGCAAACAGG
rnacentral:rRNA from 1 species